UACGAAGGGGGCUAGCGUUGCUCGGAAUCACUGGGCGUAAAGGGCGCGUAGGCGGGUCUUUAAGUCAGGGGUGAAAUCCUGGAGCUCAACUCCAGAACUGCCUUUGAUACUGAGGAUCUUGAGUUCGGGAGAGGUGAGUGGAACUGCGAGUGUAGAGGUGAAAUUCGUAGAUAUUCGCAAGAACACCAGUGGCGAAGGCGGCUCACUGGCCCGAUACUGACGCUGAGGCACGAAAGCGUGGGGAUCAAACAGG
rnacentral:rRNA from 1 species